CGGAGGGGCUAGCGUUGUUCGGAAUUACUGGGCGUAAAGCGCGCGUAGGCGGCUUAGCAAGUUAGAGGUGAAAGCCCGAAGCUCAACUUCGGAAUUGCCUUUAAAAACUGCAAGGCUAGAAUUGUGGAGAGGUGAGUGGAAUUCCGAGUGUAGAGGUGAAACUCGUAGAUAUUCGGAAGAACACCAGUGGCGAAGGCGACUCACUGGACACAUAUUGACGCUGAGGUGCGAAAGCGUGGGGAGCAAACAGGAUU
rnacentral:rRNA from 1 species